UUACGGCCAUGUCACGUUGAAACACCGGUUCCCGUACGAUCACCGAAGUUAAGCAACGUCGGGCCUAGUCAGUACCUAGAUGGGUGACCACUUCGGAAUAACAAGA